CACUCAGUGUCUCCCUCUCAUCUGACUUUUUCUCUUCAUAGCAGCCUCCCUGCAGGACGACACUUCUGCCAGUCCUGCUUUUGCUGUGGCAUCCAGUUGACUGUCAUUUGACUUCUAAUCAUGUCUGUUCAGUUUUGUUUAGCGCUGCUGGCUCUGUCCUCGCUGACGGCUGCGUCUGAUACAGGCUGUGAAGAGCUGCUUAAAACUCUGGAGGAUCGAAGCAAGCUUCAUGGAAAAUGGAUCUACUACGCUGGAGUAUCAGCCACUGAAGGGAUCAUGGAUCUUAAAAGCAUCCAGAGCUCCUGGAUCGAACUCUCACCCAUACCUGACAGUGACGACAUGACAAUGCGCUAUGGAGACAAAAUGGAUGGAAAAUGUGUUUAUGGAAGCGUUAAUGCCACCUUCUCAGGAAACUCUACUGCCGUGACAUUUUUCUACAACUCGACCACCCAUGAGCAUGUUGGGAAGCACCUGGUGACUUGCCCUGACUGCAUCCUCUGGACAGACAACUCAGUGACAGUGGGCAGCGGGGAAACCAAAAGAGGCAGAAACAUCUACCUCUUCACUAAGUCUGGCACAUUGGAUGCUUCUCAACUGGAAGUUUUCAAGAAACAAGCUCAGUGUCUGGACUUCCCCACAGACUUCCACUUUGGAGAGAAUAAAGAUCUGUGCCCUGACGAGAAGGAGGCUGCCACAGACGUGACGAAGGAAAACCAAUAAACAAAACCACGUUGAACAGACUGCAGCCCCCCAACGUACGCCUCAAAUCUAUCCUGAGUCCUGAAUUUAGUCCAUCCAUUCUCUAUACACCGCUUUAUCCUUAGUCCACAAGUCAAAUCUGUGUUCAGAUGUGCUUCCUUUCAUUGACAAAUCUCCCUGUACCACUUAGAUGUGCUGACAGUCGACUGUUGAAGCGAUCCAUCAUUACUCCUGCUGUCCUCAGUAGAUACCUUUUGCUGUAUUACAGGGAACUGAAUAAAAUGAUUUCACAUUUGCUGUCAGAUGACUUAAAUCAUGAUGGAAAAAGAUCACAUAAAGCUUAAUAAAAGGACACUGUGCGUUCACAUGUUUUGCAUAAAUGCAAUCUGUUUGUGCUUUCUGCCUGUUACUACUCUGCACCUUCCACUGAUUUCUGCUAAAUACUGGUCAACACGGGCUGCAGCAAAGUAAGAGUUUUGGUUUUUUUAUGAGUCACAGCGACUGUGACUAAAAAGCCAGAAAUACUAAUCAGGGCAGGCUGUUUGUUUCAUUCAUGCUUAUUCCUGUUCGGCCUCGACUGCAGUCUUUUCAUGUUGUCUGCUUGUUGAAAGGCCCCUUGAAAGAUGGAGAGCCACAGCUUCACAUGGCUGUGAGAAACUUCAGCAGGAAUGCAGCCCUUUCACACAAGCUGCUCUGCACGACAUGGUGCUCAACCUGAAAGAAGAAAAAGUGAUUUUUUACCUUCCUUUUGAUUCUCUUAAAGCUCCAUUUUACCAAAUUACAUUAAGGCAUCUCUAUGUUCUAUAUUGCUCUAUAAUCUCUAUGGGGCCAUUUUUUUUAUUGUAUAAAAGGGUUCAUUCCCUCUUCAAAUAAAGAAUGGAAAGAACAGGACAUAAUCAUACUAAACUAUUUCAGAGGAAAAAAGUGAAGGCAUGUUAUGUAAUAUUGCACCUGGAUGAGGAAACAAAAAGUUAUUUAAUGUCAAAGACACAAAUGUCCAUGCUGAGUCUGUUUGACAAAACAAAAAGCUCUGUCCAUGCUGAGUCUGUGUGCUCUGUUGGAGUCACUGUUUAUUAAUAUAACUUAUAUUUUUGUUGCUUUUGGCCACCAAAUAAUAGUUCUUUACUUUGGGUAAAUGAGAACCAGUCCUAAAGGAAGCCAGUGUAGUUUUUUCAUUCCAGUAGAGGCAAACAGUUUAAUGGUUUUUGCUGCAUGUUUUGCUCUUUAUCAUUCUGUAGACACUAAAUGAUGUUAAAGAUCAGACAGUGGUCUAACUGCAUAGUAAAUGUAAACACUGAACAUGCACAAAUGGGGCAUUUUGACUGAAAGCACACGACAUAAUCACUCUAAUGCACACUGUCCUGACAAAUAACAGCAGUCAGUGGAAAUGUGCAGAAUGCUUUGAAGGCAUCACCAUCACUGGGAAAUGAGAGGAGAGGUUUCUGUGGUUGUGUAGGUGUGUUUGUGUCCUUCUUUCUAUUUUUCUGCCCCUUGUGUGUGACAGAGACUCUGUGCAAGGGAGUGUUCUUCACAUAUUGAAAGAUGCAUGGGUCUCGCUAUUCAGACUCUGCCAGCUGGCUAUUAUGUAACAAGAUAAAUGGAACACAAGCCCCUGCUGUCUGGAUGUGAAAAGUGAACCACUUCGUCCCCAGAGGAGAGAGAGAAAACCUGUGUGUGUGUGUGUGUGUGUGUGUGUGUGUGUGUGUGUGUGUGUGUGUGUGUGCGUGCGUGUGUGUGUGCGGUCCAGCCCACUGUUACAGAACACUUCCCCCAGUUCCUUUGCGGAGGCUCUGGCUAGCAGGAUCCCUGACAUUAGCGUUGCUCUCUGGCUGCCUGCUGUCUCAAGCCAUGGCUGCACAGCUGGUUGUAGCUCUGCUGGCUCUCACCUCCCUGGGUGCCGCAUCUGAACCGGACUGUAAAGAGCUGGUUAAGCCUCUGGUACUGGACAGCCACAGCCCUAUCUAUGGGAAGUGGGUGCUUCAUGUGGGGUCAUGGGACCAACCUGGGCUGAAGAACGACCUGGUGUCGGUGAACAGCUCCUGGGUGGAACUGUCGGCUUCCUCAGACAACGGAGUCAUGACCAUCUACUGGGCCGACCGCCUAAAUGAUAAAUGCCUGCAGGGUUUAGCCAACGCCACCAUUUCAGGAAUGACCAGUCACACCACUUUUAAUAUUAAUGGCCACACUUCAUAUCAUGAUGGGAGGUACUAUGAGACCUGCAGCGAGUGCCUGCUGUCUGAAGACACCACCCUGCUCCCUGACGGCAAGUCUAAAGGACGAUACCUGUUCCUGUUCACACGAACCGGCACUCUGGAGCCCUCUGAGUUAGAGACCUUUAAGAAGCAGGCAGAAUGUCUGAAAUUCCUCCCAGAGUACCACUAUGGAGGCACAGAUCUGUGUCCAGAUGACAGGGAAACGGCUUCACCUGCUUCGGAGAAAGCAGAGAAUGAUCAAACCGAGACUCAGUCGACUACAGUGUAGAGUGGAGCACCGAGAAGUCACAGCUCUGUGAUCACUCACUAAACAUCCAAGCAAAUCCAGCAUAACAUGUACUAAAUAAUGUUGUAAUGUGAUCUGUACAUGCACUGAUAUAAUGUUGGGCUGUAGAAUAACUAUUUAGUCACAUGGUUUAGGCAGAAACACAGUUCACGAUUUCUGGUUUCAUGUCAUAUAAAGUCAGUAGUGUAGUCUGAGGAGCUCAGAUCUGAAAUCUGGAGGCUUAAAAAUCCAUCUGAACAACUCAAUUAAAUCUAUUUAGGGAUAUUUGUAUAUAGCAUUUCCACUGCCUGUGGUAAAUAAAAUAAAAGGUUAUCACUCUG